UACGUAGGGAGCAAGCGUUGUUCGGAUUUACUGGGCGUAAAGGGCGCGUAGGCGGCAAAUUAAGUCAGCUGUGAAAUCUCCGAGCUUAACUCGGAACGGUCAGCUGAUACUGAUCUGCUAGAGUGCGGAAGGGGCAAUCGGAAUUCUUGGUGUAGUGGUGAAAUGCGUAGAUAUCAAGAGGAACACCUGAGGUGAAGACGGGUUGCUGGGCCGACACUGACGCUGAGUGCGCGAAAGCCAGGGGAGCAAACGGG
rnacentral:rRNA from 1 species